rnacentral:tRNA from 1 species
AUCUUUUUAGUAUAAGAAGUAUAUUUGGCUUCCAACUAAAUGGUCUAGAUAAUUCUAGAAAAGAUA